rnacentral:rRNA from 1 species
AGCAGUCGCCACGGUAAUACGAGGGGGGCAAGCGUUGUUCGGAAUUAUUGGGCGUAAAGGGUGCGUAGGCGGUUUGGCAAGUUUGGUGUGAAAUCUUCGGGCUCAACUCGAAGUCUGCAUCGAAAACUGCCGGGCUUGAGUAUGGGAGAGGUGAGUGGAAUUUCCGGUGUAGCGGUGAAAUGCGUAGAUAUCGGAAGGAACACCUGUGGCGAAAGCGGCUCACUGGACCAUAACUGACGCUGAUGCACGAAAGCUAGGGGAGCAAACAGGAUUAGAUACCCCAGUAGUCCCUGUCUCUUAUAC